AGCGGCUGUCAGCGUAACCCAGCGCACGAGGGCAGAGGGCCCUUUGGGCUGCGCUGUGGGGAAAGCGUGGAGUCCAGAAGGCAGACACCCUCCUUGAGUGUUUCGAGGGGUCUAGAGCUGGAGUUCUGGAGGCCUCUAUUGAAACUCAUGUUAAGGAGGGGGAGCAUCCCAAACACGCUGCUCUCGGCUCACCGUCUGCAGUACCUUCCGUUGGGAGGUCACUCCUUCUCCACGUCCUGAGCUGCCUCGUUCUUUUGCUGGUGGACAAUGGUUCACCGUGGGGCCAUAUCGGGUGCAUGGGACCGUUCUUACUGAUGGAGACGCCACGCGGUUUGAUUCCAAGCUUUUGCUGCUGAGCACAGCCUAGACGAGCUGGAAGACUUUGCAUGACCUGGGCCUCAGCAUGUGCUUCCGGGGACAUCAAAGAAGGCUUCUCGGAGGAGGGGCACCAGAGCGGGGCCUUGAAAAUGAGAGUGUCGAAAAGGCCAGCUCAGCAGACCAGGGGUCCACACGCCCCUCUGCACAGAUGGUCCCCAGCCUGGGCUCCAUCUCUCUCACCCUGGCAGCUGGUGGGCAGUGGCGGCAGGAAUAUUGCCACACACGCUGUGAGAGAAAGUAAAGAAGGACAUUUUCAGUUCAGAGCUCAGAUCCCCGGAUCGUGUUCUCUCUUCCCAUUCUGCCUGGCCGGCGCGGAGCUGGCGUGAAUUCAUCCCAAUAUUUAUUGGAUGUUGGCCGUGACCCUGGAGCGGGUCCUCAAGACCCUGCAGCCUGCUUCCCGCAUGAACCCCUCACUUGCUGGAGCGUGGAGAGGCCCAGGGGCCGGGGGGCCAGGAGCGGCCAGGGAGCUGGGGGGUCACCCUGGGGCGUAAGAGCCCGGGGGCCCUGGUUGUGGGCAGAAGUUCAAGCCAAAGUCCUAGCAUUGCCGUGGACCCUGCAGAUCACCUAGUGGGGAGAAGAGGUCCCCAUGCUCUCCCAGGGAAGACAUUGGCCUAAGCUGGAUUUCAGGGACUCAGGCUGAUGGCAAUGAAGCUAAACUCAGUCAGUGGGGUGAAACUGGCAGCAUGAAAAAUUUAAAUAAAAAUCUGAUUUUUAAUA
rnacentral:lncRNA from 1 species